rnacentral:misc_RNA from 1 species
GAAUUGCGUUAAGAAUCACGAAUUACAGAUAUUAUGAGUGAUAUGUUUUCGAUUGCAUAUUGCAUCGUUGGGCACUUGCCCAUCGGUAUAUCCAACUCAGGGUGUGUAUCCCAAGAACGUGAAUACAAUGCACUCGUUGGUUGUAUUCAUAGAAGGCAUUUUGAAUCUUGUUUGGGGUGCGUUGAAGUGCUUUCGGAAGAGAAUGACUUGUGCGGGUUUCCAGCGGUCGGAUGUAAAUGAACUCUCAUACAUUCGGCUCCUAUGAAGCCACACAAAUAAGCCUCAACAACGAAGCACCAACCAAUGAAUGUUGUUGGUUUAAUCCACCUGAGUUGGUUAUGAUCACCCGCCGAACUUAAGCA